UUAAAUCUAAGAACAAGAAAGAUUUUUUCUUUUCUAAAAAGAAGAAAAAUAUAAGGGGAAGAGAAGCCAUCAGCCAAACCCACCCUCACCAGCCCACCCGCCAACCACCACACACACCCCAAUCUCCCCAACCCAGUAAACUCCACCACCUAGAUCUUGAUGAACUUGGCUGCUAUUCGAAGGUCUCGGAGCCGCCAGGGAAGUUGGAGACUGCUAUUUGGCACUGGACUUCUUCUAUUUCGUUGUCGUUCUGAUCCUGCUCUUCAAUUUGUUGGUGGGGCUGUGAUGGUGCAAAAGAGCUUUUUGAUGUAUGGGAUGGGAGACAUGUGAUUUGUACAAACAUGAGACUCGGGCGAGAAAAAGCCAUGGAUAUAUGACCCAUAUGGAUUGUUUUGCUAUUGUUGUUGUGAUAUUCUCUGAGGAACAAACAAUUCAUCAAAGAGGUUUUUUUUUUGGGUCAACCAAGAGAAAGAAAGAGUACUGAAAGAGAAACGAGAGAUUGGAAUCCAUAAAAAGAAAAACGAGAUGGGAGAGAGAUGGCGAUGAUGGAGUUGUAUCGAGUUAAGGAGAUGGCGUAGAGUGUGGUGGUUGACGUGUGGGCUGGUUGUGUGGCUGACGGCUUCUCUUCCCCUAUCUUUUGCCUUCUUUUUUUCUUUUCUCUUUCUUGUUUUUGGACUUAAAUGCCCUUCAACAAGUAACAGCAGUUAACCUAAUUUGAUAGAAAUUGGAGAGUGGACUUGGAUUGCUUAAAUUGAAAACCACAGGGGCAAAAAUGAUCAAGUUGAAACCACAAGGACCUUAGUGGUAAAAAUGAUAAACCACAGGAACCAAAAGUGACGUUUUGCCUUAUAUAACUGAUGGUCAGAGCGAUCGAGGAAGAGCAAGAGCGUUGCACGCAUAAAGGCAAAGCUGGAAAACUGCAAAUUUGGGUCUCGAGUUCGAAACUAAGCCCAUGAUUCGUCGUUUCAAAGAGAACGACGUCACGAGUAAAACUCAUCGCUUUUCCAUGACGUAUGGUACAUUUGCGGGAGGUUUUACAAGUUUUGCAAUAGAACAAGUUGUAUGUUAACUUGAAAAAGUGCACUUUCCUCACCAAUAAGUUGCUUUUUCUAGGUUAUGUUGUUAGUGCAUAUGGCAUUUAUGUGGAUGAAGACAAGGUACGAGCUAUCCAUGACUGGCCUACCUUGAAAACAGUUAACGACGUGUGAAGUUUUCAUGGCCUUGUAAUGUUUUAUAGGAGAUUUGUCAGAAAUUUCAGCAUUAUUACUGCACCUAUCACUAAAUGUCUGAAGCAUGGAAACUUUAAUUGGGGAGAGGAGCAAGAGCAGAGCAGAGCUUUACCCAAAUUAAAGAAAAGCUGAGCACCGCCCCAUUCUAGCCCUUCCGAACUUUGAGAAGUUAUUCAAGGUUGAAUGUGAUGUGAGUGUAGGUGUGGGAGCUGUUUUCUACUAAGAGAAUAUAUUGGUUGCAUUUUUUUCCUUAAGAAAAA